GCUGCCCCUCUAGCCUUACCCCCCCCCCCCACUCUAUAAAACCCUUUAAUUCAACCCUUCAAAUUAAAACAUUUUUUUAAUCUAGUAAAGGUGAUAAAAAAAUUUCUUUAGCGCAAUAAAAAUAGUACCGCAAGGGAAAGAUGAAAUAAUAAUGAAAUAAUCAUAAGCAUAAAAAAGUAAAGCUUACACCUUGUACCUUUUGCAUCAUGGUCUAAUUAGUUUACUUAGGCAAAAAGAUUUUUAGUCUAACUCCCCGAAUCUGGGUGAGCUACUUUAGAAUAGUUUCAUGAACUCACCCAUCUCUGUUGCAAAAGAGUGGGAAAAUUUUAUAGUAGCGGUGACAGACCUAACGAACCCAGUGAUAGCUGGUUGCUUUUUAAAAGGAUUUCAGUCCCACUUAAAGUUAUACACAAACAAAAAUUUAUCUACUUUUAAGCAAUUCAAAUAAGGUUCAGCCUAUUUGAAAUAGGACACAACCUCUUCCACUGGGUAAUUUUAUUUUUAAAUGUUACAGUAGGCUUAAAAGCAGCCAUCUUGAACAAAAUCGUCAAAGAUUAAACAUUAUAAUAUUUAAUCUCUACAGCCUCCCCCAACCCCUAAUUUUUAAAAAGCAACUCUAUACUCAUAUAGAAAAUUUUAUGUUAGAACUAGUAACUAGAAAAUAACCCUUCUCUUCAAUGUAAACGUAAAUCAGCAAGGAUACUCCACUGACAAUUAACGCCCCUAACCCCUAAGUAGCAACUUCUCAAGAAAACCCUACUUUCCCCACCCCGUUAACCUAACACAAGAACAUUUCAAGAAAGAUUCAAAGAAAAAGAAGGAACUCGGCAAACAUUAGCCUCGCCUGUUUACCAAAAACAUCGCCUCCUGAUCUUAUAUAAGAGGUCCAGCCUGCCCAGUGACAAUGUUCAACGGCCGCGGUAUCCUAACCGUGCGAAGGUAGCGUAAUCAUUUGUCCUUUAAAUGAGGACCAGUAUGAAUGGCCUCACGAGGGCUACACUGUCUCCUUUUUCUAAUCAGUAAAACUAAUCUCCCCGUGAAGAAGCGGGGAUUACCUUAUAAGACGAGAAGACCCUAUGGAGCUUUAAACAAACGAUUCAUUUGCACCUUAUAUCUAAUUCCAGAAUAUUACACUUAACCAAGCAUUUUGUCUCAAGUUUUAGGUUGGGGUGACCACGGAGAAAAAAUAAACCUCCACGAAGAAAGAACCUCUAAUUCUUAGCAAUAAACUACACUUUUAUGCAUCAAUAUAUUGACCUAAGUUGACCCAAUAAUUUGAUCAACGAACCAAGUUACCCUAGGGAUAACAGCGCAAUCCACCUCAAGAGCUCUUAUCGACAGGUGGGUUUACGACCUCGAUGUUGGAUCAGGGUAUCCUAGUGGUGCAGCAACUACUAAUGGUUCGUUUGUUCAACGAUUAAAACCCUACGUGAUCUGAGUUCAGACCGGAGUAAUCCAGGUCAGUUUCUAUCUAUAAAGAGUUUUUCCUAGUACGAAAGGACCGAAAAAACAUGGCCUAUGCUCCUAGUAAGCCAUCAAUUUUGAAUUAAUGACCUAAUCUCAAUUCCAAAGAAUCUCUCACUUAUUUUAAGACAAAACCA
rnacentral:rRNA from 1 species